rnacentral:rRNA from 1 species
CCUACGGGAGGCUGCAGUGGGGAAUAUUGUACAAUGGGCGCAAGCCUGAUGCAGCCAUGCCGCGUGUGUGAAGAAGGCCCUCGGGUUGUAAAGCACUUUCAGCGGGGAGGAAGGCGUUAAGGUUAAUAACCUUGGCGAUUGACGUUACCCGCAGAAGAAGCACCGGCUAACUCCGUGCCAGCAGCCGCGGUAAUACGGAGGGUGCAAGCGUUAAUCGGAAUUACUGGGCGUAAAGCGCACGCAGGCGGUCUGUCAAGUCGGAUGUGAAAUCCCCGGGCUCAACCUGGGAACUGCAUUCGAAACUGGCAGGCUAGAGUCUUGGAGAGGGGGGUAGAAUUCCAGGUGUAGCGGUGAAAUGCGUAGAGAUCUGGAGGAAUACCGGUGGCGAAGGCGGCCCCCUGGACAAAGACUGACGCUCAGGUGCGAAAGCGUGGGGAGCAAACAGGAUUAGAUACCCGUGUAGUC